rnacentral:tRNA from 1 species
AGCCGGUUAGCCCAGUCGGUAGGGCACUCGUCCUGUAAACGAGGGGUCCCGGGUUCGAGUCCCGCACCGGCUG